ACCAAAACAAUGAAACCUGGGAAAAAAUAGCGCUGAAUUUCCCAGAACUCCCAAGCAGCUGAACACUGCAUAUUUUAUAUAUACUUAAAAAGGGUCACUCGCCAAAAAGUAGCAGAGAAAAAUGUUAAGUGUAUAAAACUUUCGGUUGAUUUAGAGCUAUAUGGAUUAAUUACAUUGCAGAUUCAAAAAUAUAAUGAGCAGAAGGUUUUGGACCAGUUGAAGAGAGACCAAACUGUGGACAAAAAAGACAUACUUGCAACAGGUGGUGGCACAUUUAGGCCUCGUCUCACAGAUGUAGGGACACAAAUGUUGGGUUUGAUUGGCAAUCAAAUCCAACCUUUACCCAACAGAUGUGACAGUGCAUCUGGUUUCUUCACAUCUGUUGCACAAGAUAGUCAAGUGGAAGUAGAUUACCUACAAUUAGAAGACACAUAGCAGACAUCCAAUGUACCCUCUACUUCCACUGUGCUGCUCAGUACACCGACAACAACUGCUGUCCUGCCCAAGAAGACAGCCAAGAUGUCUCAGGCUCGUUCAAAAAAUAAAAAAUU